AGGUACAUUUCUUUUGGCUUUUGAUGUGCAGCUCUACAAAACCAAAGGGAAGCAGCUGUAUCUGAACUAUUAAGAGAUAAGGAUGAGUAAAACCUGGAACAAUUUACUAAGAUAAUGAAGACUCUCCCAAGUGGUGCUUCUGAGCAAACACAGGGCAAUGAAAGGAGAGGCUAACAUCACUUAAUU